ensembl:lncRNA
GAGAAAGGCAGAGAGAGAAAGGCAGAGAGAGAGAGAAAGGCAGAGAGAAAGGCAGAGAGAAAGGCAGAGAGAGAGGCAGAGAGAGAGAGAGAAAGGCAGAGAGAAAGGCAGAGAGAAAGGCAGAGAGAGAGGCAGAGAGAGAGAGAAAGGCAGAGAGAAAGGCAGAGAGAAAGGCAGAGAGAGAGGCAGAGAGAGAGAGAAAGGCAGAGAGAAAGGCAGAGAGAGAGGCAGAGAGAGAGAGGCAGAGAGAGAAAAACAGAGAGAGAGAGAGGCAGAGAGAGAGAGAGAGAAUAACAUCUAACUACAACUAACUAGGUUAUAAGUUUUACAGUAAUCAGCACAGCACCUGUAGACCAGACCAGGCCCAUAGUACUUUGUCCUUCAGUAAGCCACUCUAAAUGGUGAUUACAUUUCUUAGAUCCAACUCACAGUUUCUACGUGAAACAAGCACACCCCGCAGCUCAUGUCAAUCAGAGUAACACUGAGGAGUAAGAGCGGGUGGGUUUAUUUUGCGUUUAGAGAGUUAUAGUAGUGUCUUCUUAGAUCAGGGCUGCUGAAACCCUUUUCAUGGAGAGCUACCCUCCUGUAGGUUGUUGCUCCAACCCUUAGCUAACAUACCUGAUUUAGCUAGGUAAGGUGUUGUUGAGCAUCUAGGGUUGGACGGACCCUGCAGGAGAAGAGCUCUCCGUGAACAUGGAUGGGCAGCCUUGUCUUGGAUCAACACCAGGCAACAGCAGACUUGCAGAGCCUUCAGAAAACAUUCACACCCCUGAACUUUUUAUACAUUUUAUUCUGUUACAGCUUGAAUGGAAAAAAAUGAUCAAAUUGAGAUU